UUCUCAUAACUACUUGUCAUAAUUGAUCUUGAGAAACAUUUGAAUGAUCGUUAGUAAAAAUUCUAAAUUAUCUGUAAACCAAAAGAUGAUGGAUAUUACUAAAUGAUAGAUAAAUUAAAUAAUCAACUAACAGUUUUCGUGCAGUGAUUGAUCUCAAAAAUAAAUGAAGUGCUAAAGUUGAUUUCUUUUCCUUUAUCAACAAUAGAUGUCCCACCGCAAGUGAUGACAUCUUUGUUUAAUUGUAAAUAGUGGAUCAAUGAGAAGUCAUGCAAAUUGAUUUUCACAGUUCAUGAAAUUCAAUUUCCCUUUUGGUUAUAGGGACAGGUUUGAAUUGUCAUUUAAAUUAGAUUAAAAUAGAAAUUUUCAGUAUUUGAGCAUCUUCUAUUAGUUUCAAGUUUUGAUAUACUAAUAAAUCAGGGAGGUAACUAGUAGCAGAUAAGUCUAAGAUUUGCAAUUAAUGUAAUUUGCUUGUUAAGAUUAAACCUAUAAAAUGGGUAAUUAAACUGUUCAAUACGUCACGCCCUUCAAAUGUUUCACACCUACUGGAUAGAAGAAUGCACACUCAUACUUUAGUCACUACUAUAUGAUCCUUUAUCUCUAUGUAGGUGAUUAUUUCUGCAUAAAAACUAUUAAUAUUCAUUGAGUACUUCUGCUUCAAUUUCAUAUAUAGACAGGCAGGAGUACAAAUUGAAAAAUGGAAAAUGCAUACUUCCAGAGUCAUAAUUAGUUGAAAUUUUGAAUUAUGAGCUGGUUGGUCAAUAGUUGAUAGAUAUUUAAACUAUUUGUUGAACAACUAUUGAUAUUCUCUAAAAAUUAACUAUUGAAAAAAAAAAAAAAAAAAUUAGCUAUUGAUAUUCUCUGCCAUGUUAGACGUUUGUAAACUUUCCUUGUUGCCAAAUGAGAUACCUUGAAAAGAAAAAAUUUUUGAAUGACCCCAAUCAUGUUUCCGUUGGAGACAUUAAUUGUACAUUGCCAUCUACAAAAUUUUUCUUAAAAUGGUAUUGAAGCCAACGAAGCUGUGAUAGUAUGAAUUUAAGCAUUCAUAAAGACAAUAUUAUGACUCUGGCUCUUUCCUGGUUUGCACAUUGUCUGUUACCACUUAUAAAUUGGCUGAGAUUCUGAAUUGUAUCACUGUGGCAGCCAUUUUUAUUUUGGUGAUGCUGGAUGGCCAUCAAGAAAAAUUCAUAGCCAAAACAGCCCUACCAGAGAAAUAUCACCUGCAGGUUCCAAUCUGUUCUGUUGGCCUUCCUGCACCAACACUGCAGAUCAUAUGAUGCCUUCUCCACUGCCUGUUGUAUCACAAGAAGAAUUCAAGAUAUUUCAUGAAAUUGACAGGGAAUUAUGCAUGAUCCUUGCUGUCAAUGUUUGGCUGGAUCUAGUGGAUUCUUUGCAGAUUAUGGCCUGUGGCUCUGGUUGGAUAGAACAAGGUUUGACUUGGAAUCCAGGCUGAGCCAAAAAUUCCUAGAAAAAAUGUGCCAUCAUCUUCUGGCUAUCUGCUAGGCUUUGAGCAGCAUUCCUUUCAACAGCUUGUUGCAUGAUGUUGGUUAAUGCUCAAACGCAGACAUCAGUUACAAUUUUCCCAACCACUUGAGUUGCAUUUAGCCAAUUGUUGUAAAAAAAUCUGAGAGAGAUUUCUUUUUCCAUUAACUGCUGCAUCGAAGGAAUAUCAUCAGCGCUUAACGGAAAGUAAAUCUCCCUCAGAUUUUUUUACAACAAUCGACUAAAUGCAACUCAAGUGGUUGCAAAUAUUGUAACUGAUGUUUGUGUUUAAGCAUUAACCAACAUCAUGCAACAAGCUAUUGAAAGGAAUGCUGAUCAAAGCCUAGCAGAUGGCCAGAAGAUGAUGGCGCAUAUUUUCCAGAAAUUUUUGGUUCAGUUUGGAUUCCAAGUUACAUUUUGUCCAAAUGAAAUGAUUCAAUAUUGUACCCAGCAAAAAGAGGUUCCGGCAGAUGGUAGGACUAUGUUCAUCACUUCUCUAAAGGGUAUCCAGUGCUUGAAACGGAGGUAAGAGAAUUCUUGACAAGAGCUUAUGGGGUCCUUGCACAUGCAGGAAGUUGAAUCUAGUGAGCAAUCACUGUUUGUUUGUAUUGUUUUUCACUCAGCAUAAACCAUUGAUGUGAUUCUGAAUGGUACAGGUGAGGAAAUGUUUACCAUCAACAGGAAGCAUGUUUGGGGCUGGAAAUUUAUUCCAAAGCACCUGAAAUCCUUGGCGACACCACCAAACCUUCCAAGUUUGUAAUGUUUGUUGAAGGUUUCAGAAGAUAUUGUUACUUAUGACAGUAUCAUUUUUUAUGAAUUGUCAGUUUGAUUGAUUUGUGUAUGUUAAUUUUUUUCGCUUGACUGUUAAACAUUGUAGUGUUCUUGGUUUAUGAGCUCAUGAUGUGUUAAGUUUGAAGUUUGGUAGAAUUUCAAUGGCAUAUGAAUGAAUAUUGGUAUGUGUAAGUUUUCUGU